GUGGAGGGAAGCUCAUCAGUGGGGCUACAAAUUGAAUGCAUCCAGUCACUCUUCUACAGCCCUUGGGAAGGUCUGAGACUUGGGCCAAUAGCGGCCCUAACAGGGCCCUCCCUGAGCUCCAGGGAGGUGAGUUCCCAGACAGCGGGGCUCCACACGAGGGCAGACUGGGCAGGAGAUAGUUGAGUUUCUGUUUCCUCUCACCUUUGUUUAUUAUGGCUUGAACAUAGAACAUCAAAUCAGCUGAUAGUCUCAGCCAC
ensembl:ribozyme RNaseP_nuc Nuclear RNase P